CAAUAGCGUAUAUUAAAGUUGUUGCAGUUAAAAAGCUCGUAGUUGGAUUUCGGGGUGGCCUGCCUGGUCCACCGCAAGGUGGGUACUGGUCAGCCGCCCUUCCUCUCGAAAGCCCCGACUGCUCUUCAUUGCAGUGGUCGGGUAGUUCGGGACGUUUACUUUGAAAAAAUUAGAGUGUUCAAGGCAGGCUAUCGCCUGAAUACAUUAGCAUGGAAUAAUGGAAGAGGACCUCGGUCCUAUUUUGUUGGUUUCUAGGGCCGAAGUAAUGAUUAAGAGGGACAGUUGGGGGCAUUCGUAUUUAAUUGUCAGAGGUGAAAUUCUUGGAUUUAUGAAAGACGAACUAGUGCGAAAGCAUUUGCCAAGGAUGUUUUCAUUAA
rnacentral:rRNA from 1 species